GCUACACAUGCAGUCGAGCGGAACGAUGAUAGCUUGCUAUCAGGCGUCGAGCGGCGGACGGGUGAGUAAUACUUAGGAAUCUACCUAGUAGUGGGGGAUAGCACGGGGAAACUCGUAUUAAUACCGCAUACGUCCUACGGGAGAAAGGGGGCAACUUGUUGCUCUCGCUAUUAGAUGAGCCUAAGUCGGAUUAGCUAGAUGGUGGGGUAAAGGCCUACCAUGGCGACGAUCUGUAGCUGGUCUGAGAGGAUGAUCAGCCACACCGGGACUGAGACACGGCCCGGACUCCUACGGGAGGCAGCAGUGGGGAAUAUUGGACAAUGGGGGAAACCCUGAUCCAGCCAUGCCGCGUGUGUGAAGAAGGCCUUUUGGUUGUAAAGCACUUUAAGCAGUGAAGAAGACUCUUCGGUUAAUACCCGGAGACGAUGACAUUAGCUGCAGAAUAAGCACCGGCUAACUCUGUGCCAGCAGCCGCGGUAAUACAGAGGGUGCAAGCGUUAAUCGGAAUUACUGGGCGUAAAGCGAGCGUAGGUGGCUUGAUAAGUCAGAUGUGAAAUCCGGGCUUAACCUGGACUGCAUCUGAACUGUUAGGCUAGAG
rnacentral:rRNA from 1 species